rnacentral:tRNA from 1 species
GGGGGUGGAUGGAACCUGGUGGUUUCUGCAGUCUUCAAAACUGUUUGUGGGGCAGUAUUCCUGUCCUUGGUGGGUUCGAUUCCUACACGCCCUC